AUGGCUAUCGGCGACUACCCUGCCGAAUAUAAUCCCAAAGUACAUGGACCGUACGAUCCAGCACGUUUUUAUGGAAC